UACGGAGGGUGCAAGCGUUGUCCGGAAUCACUGGGCGUAAAGGGCGCGUAGGCGGCUCGGUCAGUAGGGGGUGAAAUCCUGCGGCUUAACCGCAGGGCUGCCUUCUAAACUGUCGAGCUUGAGCACGGUAGAGGCAGAUGGAAUUCCCGGUGUAGCGGUGGAAUGCGUAGAGAUCGGGAAGAACAUCAGUGGCGAAGGCGGUCUGCUGGGCCGUUGCUGACGCUGAGGCGCGACAGCGUGGGGAGCAAACAGG
rnacentral:rRNA from 1 species